AUUGAACGCUGGCGGCAGGCCUAACACAUGCAAGUCGAGCGGAGCGGCGGACGGGUGAGUAAUGCCUAGGAAUCUGCCUGGUAGUGGGGGAUAACGUCCGGCAACGGGCGCUAAUACCGCAUACUAUCAGAUGAGCCUAGGUCGGAUUAUAUAGUGGGUGGGUUAAAGGCCUACCAAGGCGACGAUCCGUAACUGGUCCGAGAGGAUGAUCAGUCAAACUGGACCGGAGACACGGUCCAGACUCCUACGGGAGGCAGCAGUGGGGAAUAUUGGACAAGGGGCGAAAGCCUGAUCCAGCCAGUCCGCGUGUGUGAAGAAGGUCUUCGGAUUGUAAAGCACUUUAAGUUGGGAGGCGUUACCAACAGAAUAAGCACCGGCUAACUUCGUGCCAGCAGCCGCGGUGAUAC
rnacentral:rRNA from 1 species